rnacentral:rRNA from 1 species
GCCAACGUUCAUCAUAUCACGUUGAAUACACCAGUUCUCGUCCGAUCACUGAAGUUAAGCAACGUUGAGCGUGGAUAGUACUUGGAUGGGUGACCGCUUGGGAACACCACGUAACGUUGGCG